GGGGCCGUGCCUGAAGUAAAGGACCACUUUGAUAGAGUGAACAAUGAGGGUUAGAGUCCCCCCAGCCCCU
rnacentral:tRNA from 1 species